UACGUAGGGCGCAAGCGUUGUCCGGAAUUAUUGGGCGUAAAGAGCUCGUAGGCGGUCUGUUACGUCCGCUGUGAAAACCCAGGGCUUAACCCUGGGCUUGCAGUGGAUACGGGCAGACUAGAGGCAGGUAGGGGAGAAUGGAAUUCCCGGUGUAGCGGUGAAAUGCGCAGAUAUCGGGAAGAACACCCGUGGCGAAGGCGGUUCUCUGGGACGGUACUGACGCUGAGACGCGAAAGCGUGGGGAGCGAACAGG
rnacentral:rRNA from 1 species